CAAUCUUCACAUAAAAUAACACAUAUUCUACAAAUUUCUUCAAUACUAAGAUUUAAGGUACUUCUAAUAAGAUGUAAGAGUAUUUUGAUUUUUUUUUUUCCUCCACUUCCCUAGUCCAAUAUACACACCCACUCACCAAACUAUUUUCCCAUUGCUGAAAAACUCUAAUCUUGCCAUCCUCAUAUUGUGAUAUCAUACCAAAAUCUUCUACUUUCACACAUCCACACAUUGCUGAAAAAAAAUCAAGUAAUUUAUUCUCCUCCACAAUUGAAACAAUACAAGGGGUGCCUAGUCAAAAGUCUGGUUGCUUUCAGUGCAAGAGUAUUAGAGAUGCACCCCAUCAUCUUAUAGGACAUAUUGUAGCAAAAAAGGAGUUACAAAUAGUACUUUUAUAAUUGCAUGCUCAUCUAAUUAAUGCAUUGCGAAUCUUCUUUGCUUUUAUGCUUCCCAUGGAGCCAAAUCUACCAAGGUUCCUCCACCUUCUUACUUUUAAAUACUAACAAACCCUCCCUGAUAUGCUCAGUAUAGCCAUUCACAAAGUAGACACAGAAAAACUGAACCAUAUACUCCCAUUCUUCAUGACCAUGGCGGAGCAGCCAUGGAUCCCCUCUGAUGACUCCAAAUACAAAACCUAAGCCACAAUCAACUUCCCCCGAUCAAUUCAACUUUUUUUUUCUCGUGCAUUUUUUUAAAAAAUAACUAGAUAGUUCAAGAGCACUGAAGGCACACGAUUUCAUCGGCGCAUGAUGUUGAUGUGUCGUUAUCGACAUAGAGCCCGCAUAACAAACUUUUUUUCUCUUCGAUUAAGCAAUCUCCCUUCUCAAACA
rnacentral:lncRNA from 1 species